GACGAGUGGCGGACGGGUGAGUAAUGUCUGGGAAACUGCCUGAUGGAGGGGGAUAACUACUGGAAACGGUAGCUAAUACCGCAUAACGUCGCAAGACCAAAGAGGGGGACCUUCGGGCCUCUUGCCAUCGGAUGUGCCCAGAUGGGAUUAGCUAGUAGGUGGGGUAAAGGCUCACCUAGGCGACGAUCCCUAGCUGGUCUGAGAGGAUGACCAGCCACACUGGAACUGAGACACGGUCCAGACUCCUACGGGAGGCAGCAGUGGGGAAUAUUGCACAAUGGGCGCAAGCCUGAUGCAGCCAUGCCGCGUGUAUGAAGAAGGCCUUCGGGUUGUAAAGUACUUUCAGCGGGGAGGAAGGGAGUAAAGUUAAUACCUUUGCUCAUUGACGUUACCCGCAGAAGAAGCACCGGCUAACUCCGUGCCAGCAGCCGCGGUAAUACGGAGGGUGCAAGCGUUAAUCGGAAUUACUGGGCGUAAAGCGCACGCAGGCGGUUUGUUAAGUCAGAUGUGAAAUCCCCGGGCUCAACCUGGGAACUGCAUCUGAUACUGGCAAGCUUGAGUCUCGUAGAGGGGGGUAGAAUUCCAGGUGUAGCGGUGAAAUGCGUAGAGAUCUGGAGGAAUACCG
rnacentral:rRNA from 1 species